GGAGGAGUCGCCUAGUUGGUCUAUGGCGCGGUCCUGGAAAGACCGUUGGGCGGUAACGUCCUCGCGAGUUCGAAUCUCGCCUCCUCCG
rnacentral:tRNA from 1 species